AUGUUGCGGCAUCGCACCGCAACUAACCAUCAACGCCAUCGUGCCGCCAACAGCGCCCACCUUGCGCCGUCUUGCCGUGGACGACGCUGUCACGGCGUCGAGUACCACGACCUCUUGCCGCAUGCAGCGGCCAUGUCUUCACGUGGACGACGCCUUCGCGGCGCCGAUCGCCACGCCGUCUUCUCCUCAUAA
rnacentral:rRNA from 1 species